rnacentral:rRNA from 1 species
UGGGCAACCUGCCCCAGACACAGGGAUAACCCCGGGAAACCGGGGCUAAUACCGGAUACUCCGGUCGAACCGCAUGGCUCGAUCGGGAAAGCUCCGACGGUCUGGGAUGGGCCCGCGGCCUAUCAGCUUGUUGGUGGGGUAACGGCCUACCAAGGCGACGACGGGUAGCUGGUCUGAGAGGACGAUCAGCCACACUGGGACUGAGACACGGCCCAGACUCCUACGGGAG